UACGGGGGGAGCAAGCGUUGUUCGGAUUUACUGGGCGUAAAGGGCGCGUAGGCGGCCACCGCAAGUCGACUGUGAAAUCUCCGGGCUUAACCCGGAAAGGUCAGCCGAUACUGCGGGGCUAGAGUGCAGAAGGGGCAACUGGAAUUCUCGGUGUAGCGGUGAAAUGCGUAGAUAUCGGGAGGAACACCCGUAGCGAAGGCGGCACUCUGGGCCGGUACUGACGCUGAGGAGCGAAAGCGUGGGGAGCAAACAGG
rnacentral:rRNA from 1 species